GGUGAGAUGGCCGAGCGGUCUAAGGCGCUGCGUUAAGGCCGCAGUCUAUUCGUAGGCGUGGGUUCGAAUCCCACUCUCAUCA
rnacentral:tRNA from 2 species